rnacentral:sRNA from 1 species
AUUUGCUUAAUGCUCUAACCGUGGCAAGCUUGGCUGGAAGGCAGGCUACACAUAGCAGGGAAGAGGGUAGACUCCAUGAGGAGAUGGGGCAGGAUCCAGGGUGUGGUAGCCGACUUAGAGCACACUUCCCUUGAAAAUAUGGGACAAAUAUUUAAUAACGAACAUUGGUCGGAGCCACAAGUGAGUAAAGAGCUAGAUGUUUCCAGGCGGUCGCGGGUCUCAGCGUUUGGGUAAUGGCAGCCCUCUGCUUCCAGAGCGUCUGUCCAAUUCGCAGCACAACUUCACAGGGCAGAGGGAUCAAAGUCCGAGAGUUGACAAGCCAGUAAAACUUAAGAAAGGCACCCGCGUCUCAGCCAACUGGGCUGGGAUCCACCACUAGGAUUUAGUUCUUGCAAGAGAGUCAGACUCCAACUCCGGGACAGAAGCAGAGAUGCUCUCUAUAAAGCCGUGGAGGGGAAAAACAGGCUCAGCCCUUGGAAACAUGAGCCUGGCUUCAACUCGACUCUUGGUCGCCGCCGUAUACCUGACUUGGUGAAGAAGAAAGGAAAGCAAACAUCUCCCAGCAGAAUGAUCGAGCGCAAAGCGUUCAAAACUUGCAAUUCUGACAGACAGUCCUCGAGGGAAGGUGGGGUUCAUGGUUUUUGAGGGGUUUUUGCCCAUCGUGAUAUGGGAAGGACAGAAGAGAAGUUCAGGUCAGGGUGGUCAAAGCUGCUGAUACUGCCACAGACCAGUGUGCAGAGUGGUCAGGACCCUGAGCUGGGGGAAUGGUCAAAGGCACACUCCUAGAGACCAACUUGUGCUCGCUGAUCCCUGCCUCUUGAAAGUUCCACAGCCUCUCAGAAUAGUGCCCCCUGCUGGGAAGGAAGAAUUCAAGACGUGAACCUGGCGGGUGGGGCUUGGGGGGUGGAUUUCAGAUUGAAACUAGAACAGAAGGCCCAGAAAAGGGAGGUCGGUGAGAGUCUGUAUUCUUAAUUCAGGACGGCUUACAAAUAUGACUAGUUAAUUUAUAAGAUGUAAACUAAUACUUAAAAAAAAAAGAAUUUAGCAAACCAGACAGGGAAUUUCAGGACGGCAGUGACCUUUGUGCUUGCUGAGGCAUCGUAGGCGACAGUCUGCUGGAGUCCGGGAAGCCAUCUGCAGCUAGAGGGACCCUGCAGCUAGGGGGACAAUGAGCUGUCUGUCUCCUCCUCUACCUCCAGCUCUCCCUUGAGGGUUUGCGUUGGCAGAAUCUAAGCAGGAAUUUCUGGGAAAUUUAGUUUCCAGAUGUUACAGCCCCUGUGAGUCAGGACACAGAAGGGGAAAGAGCUACCAUGGCCACGGGGCCCAAGUGAAAGACAUCAAUUAUUUUAGGGUGAUGUCAGAGAAAGUGGGUCGCAGUGGAAAUGGAGCUCGGCGAGGCCGAGUCUGGGUGGAAGGACUGUGGGGAAGCAACACCCCUGCAGACAGGAACUGUGAGACACGCUAGGCAGAGUGACAAGGAGGUUGAAAUGCCACAACCUUCGAGAGUGACAGAUGCUCUUUGUUUUAAAGAGCUCAGUAGCGUGUAUAUAGAAAAUAAAGGCACCGUGGAUGGGACAAGGGGACUGUAAGAACCUGUCCCCCACUCUUGCUGAUAGUUUGAAAGCAUUCUGUGAAAUAAAUAUUCUUCUUCCAGACUAGGCAAAAAUGAAAACGGUUAGCAUUUGGACCUCGGUGUUGGAACUGGAGGUUAGAAGGUAGAAAUGUGGGAGGGAGUUAGACCAGAAGUUGACGGAACUUGGCAAGGUGAGUAGCAGGAGGAAGGCAGGAGCAACCAGGACUCCACAGUCUGUGGGGUGCGUAGCAUUGUGAACGGGCACCAUGAAUUGAGACAUGGCCAUAAAAAAAGUCGGAGCAGUUCCCUUUGGGAUGUGUUCUGUGUUAGGAUGUGAAACUACAGACAUCAAUAAUCAAGACAGAGGUGGUGGUGUGUCGUGUCCCCCCCACCCGCUUCCUGCUGAACAUACAUGACACCUUUGCAUACAAAGGGAAGUAUAACUCUCUACGUGUGAGUUUGGCCACAGUCACAGAAAAGAACUGAUUGAUAUCUAUCAAAGAUAUUUCCCCAUCUUAUUCCCCGAUGGAGCUUGAUGCUUGAAAUCCAACACGUGGUACUUCAAACUCCUGGCUUUAAGUUAAGGCACCUUAAAGGUUUGUGCUGCCCAUCUACCUGUGGUGUGGCGUGCUGAGACUUGCUUUGUCACACGUACCCUGAAAACAAUCAGUGCAUAUACACACACUAGUGCUGCUAUAUGGCCAGAGCUCGCAGCAUGGCCUAUUACAUGAUUUUUCCAGAAAGAUGAUAACAGGCAUCACACCAGACAGGGCAUCAGUGUCAGGUCACAGAAAUUACUCUACUAAAUUCCAGCUUGAGGAACCAAGGAAUCUUUUGGGGUUAUAUACAGCAACGUAGCAAGGGGCUCCUUGAAAGAACCUGAGUGGCUUAAAAGCAGCUGUACCCCCCAAAAUGACCCACCAGAGCUUCGUCCCCGGGACUCCCCACCUAUCUCAAAGGUAACCCCUUAGAGAGUCUCGUCUUGAGCAACAAUUAAUUAUUGCUUAUAUAACCCAGAGUGGGGCCUGUCCUGUUAACUUCUGCUGUCAACCUGACAGCCCAGAGUCAUCUCAGAGAGGCUCCAUUGGGGAAUCAGAUCGAUCAAAUUGUCCUGUGGCCAUGUCUAUGAGGAAGUCUUUUAGUUGUGGAUUAUUGUCAGAGGGCACAGUCCCCUGUGGGUGGUGCCAUUCCUUAGCAGAUGGUUCUGGGCUAUCUAACAAAGCUGGCUGAGCAUGAGGGAGAGAGAGAGAGUAAACCAGCAUGCAGUGUUCCUCCAUGCAACUCUGCUCCAGAUUCCUGCCUCUCGAGAGGUCCUGCACCGGCUUCCCUCCGAGAUGAACUUCUACCUGGGAGUGUCUAUUGGAACAAACACUUCCCUCCCCAAGUUGUUUUUGGUCAUGGUGUUUAACAGAAUGACAUAAAGGAAGCUAGAGGAAGGCAUAUUCCUACUAAGUCUUGUAAGCUUCCUGGGCCUGCUAAAUUUUAUGGGUUUGUGAGUUUUGCUAGCUCCUUGUGUCUUAUGAGCUCCUGUCCUCUCUUAACUCUCCAGGAGGACAUGUUUCAGUUCGGGGGCAAUAGCUACACAGUAGUGCCCAUGAUGAGCCAGAGCUAGAAGAAUCACUGGCCCCUACAUAAAGCCCUGAUUGUCAGAGAGACAGGAGGUCUUCAUGAGUCUGGGGAAACUUGCUGUGACUUACUUUGUCCUCUGUCUUCAUAGGCUCCCUGCCUGCUCUAUCUAUUUUUUCUUCUAUUUCUUUAACAACUUGAUUGUUGAAACCCCAGGAAAUUCUAAGCCCAUUUCUCCCAUCAAAAUGAAAGGAACUUAUUGAUGAAAUCAUGAGUCCAUUAAGAUUGAGUGGUACAUCUCCAUUAGGGCCACGAUUUGCAUCAUAAAACAGAUUAACAUGAAAGGUGGAAGCACUCUUCUUGGAGAGGAAAUGCACAAAAGAAUCUUUUAGGGCCUUCCGAAUUAAAGCAGAAUAAACACUCCACCAGGCACAGAGAGAAGGCAAGGGACAGGGGGGAAGGUUUCGACAGAGCCAAGCAAGACUGAAGACCUGCAGCCACAUAAGUGGUGUGACUCAUAGCUUAGUUGUGGGUAGACAGCAGAAGCCAGGGAACAUUCGGAGCUGAAAGAAACACUCGUAUUAAACAUUCUGCUGGAGCAAGGGUUCCCACUGCAGUGUGCUUACAGAGCCCUGCUCUGAAGUAUGCCUGGGCCGGCCGUUCUCGCUACUUUAAUGGAGUUGCUGAGAACCACCCUCUUGCCCGGCUAAGAGCCUGUGGUUCUGAGUGGAUGAGAGUGCUGUUCUCCUCAACCUUCCUCAGAAUGUUGAGAGGACAGUUCUGUGACAAGAGCUUUGCCAUGUGGCCUCCCCAGGAAUCUAGAUUGUUCCGGAUGAUCAAAGGAUAAUGAAAUAAACCCUACAUUAAUAGAGCACAGGGUUCUGGGAGUGUGUUGGGGGGCGGGGAUGACGUCUUCUCUUGCCUAUCAAGCUGGUGCUGUUUGUGUGUGUAUCACUUGCUUAGCAGCAUCAAGACCUUUAGCUAAAAGGAGAGGCUGGCUUAAAGGAUUGGAGCACCCGGGGGAUUCGCUGUUUGAUGGAAACAGGUCAGAGAAAGGAGCAAGAGAAUGAUCGGCCGUCUUACUCUUCUGGUGGGGUCUCUUUGCUCAUGUGUGAGAGGCAGUUCAUGCCAGCUCACAGACAUCAAGCAGAAUUUCUUCCUAAUUCCCCCACUCAGUGACUUCAUAGGAGGUUGGCACUGGCUAGGAUAGGAAUGUUUACAUUGCCAGAAUUGGCAGAUGUCACAAACCAGGGUGUUUUUUUCUCCCCUACUGUGGUUGCCUUGUUUUCUCCCCUAGAAAAUUUAUCGUUAAAUAUUUAUCAGCAUUCUCCUGGAAUUUGAUUGAAAGAUAAUUUGGCCAUCAAAGCAGCCACACGGCCUUCUGAAACUCUGGCUGAAAGCUUUCUGAGCACAGCAAGGGUCAAACAAGUGACCGGGCGGAGCUCGGCGGAAUUUGGAAAAAGGGAAAGGAUUCUUGGAAUACACGCCUGUGUGACAUACUCACCCAUGAACACUCACCUGAGGGUCAGUGCUCACAGGGUGACAUGGUAGGCACCUCUCGAAAGUUGUAAAGGGACCUUUAGGAAUGUGGCCACGAGAUGGACACUACUUAGACAUGAUGUGGGCCUCUUUCUCAUUGGACCAGGGACUUCAGAUAAAGGAUAAGACCCAGGAGGCUGGGCCUCAGAAGGACCAAUUUACAGGGCAUUUUGAUAGUGAACCAAUUAACCUCUUCUACCUAUAGGGCUCAGACAAAAGAUAGUUGGGCUCAGGAUGCAUUCUGGGAGCACUGCCGCGUGUGGGUGGUAAUGAUGUGUCAGAAGUUCUUUUUCAGAUGGGCUAAGUAGACUCCAGUCCUAUAUGGAAUGUCCGAGGCUGUGUCAGAGAAACACAAAGGUCUCUUCUGCCUCCCUUCCUGGGUUCUAGGAUUCUUCUGAAAAGAACCCUAAUGCUAACUAGAAGGUAGAAGAGUGGAAGCCCAGACACAGAUUAAGGAGUACACAUAGGUUCGGCCACAAUGGAGAUCAGGGAGGGAGGAUCUUCAACAAACUAAGAAAGAACCAGUGUAUGGCCCACUACAGCGUGUCCAGGUUAUUUACCUGAGGGACCGUAAGCCAACCUAUCACCCUGUGAACACUGCUGUGAGUUCACAAUUAUGGCUGAGUUAUGUACGGAAGCAAGAGAAGCGUCCGUCAACAAAUGACAGGGUUAAAUGGAGUGUGUGUGUAUAACGAAACUUUAGUCAGCUCUAAGGAAGAGCAGAAUCAUGCUGUUUGUUGAAGAACGGGUGUGACAGAAACUAACUAUAUGAAAUAAGUCAGCAAGAUAAGUGUCACACAUUUUUAGUCCUUUUGCACAUCCUUGGGUACACACACACACACAACACACCCUCACACACACUAAGGAAAAAAAAACUGGCUUCGAAGGACAAAAGGAGGCUACGAAAGGAAACAUAUUUGUUCGACUUUGAGGAAGAAGCCGAUUUGUCUGAAGGAGUCUGGGGACAGCCCUGCCUUUGUCUGAUAAGCCCUCUCUGCAAGUCCCUGUAAGCCAUAUGUGUUUAAGAUGUAGAGGAUCAGCUCAGGGGAUCAGCGCACAGCCCUGGAAGCGUUAGCAUGCGCUUCCUACUUUAAGCAGCUGUCUGGCAAAAUGGUCUGUCACUGUCAUAGGGCAGCCGAGCAUGAGAGUGCUUUGACAGUGCGAGUCUGUCUCAAUCCUUCCACCCAAACUCAAAGGAACGUCUUCCCAAAGGCCGAGGGCAGCCAUUCUUUGCAGCGGGAGUAAGCUCGGCUGAUGGCUUAAUCUGGAAGCCAAUUGGCUUUCAAGGAGACAUAACUCACUCCAUAUUUAGAGAAACGUUUGGAGUCUAUUGGGACUGCUUCGGGAGGGGAUUUGAAAACUUUGAAAAGGAACCUGAUAUGAACACUGACCGACUGGAAGACCUUCUGUCUUUCACAAGUGGGCACGUACCUGGCAGCCCUUGCUGGCUUGGCUUCAACUCCUAGAUCCCGGAUCAUGGAAGCCCUGGAGGGUCUGGCAGUUGGUUCCGGAGUCAACAAGAAGCAGGCAGCCACCACCAACCUAGAAGUAUUAUCAUGGUUUAACAGCAAUCCAAGCAAUGUCUCUGCUCCUGAAAUGGAACCUGGGCCUUGUUGGACGACGUGGGACAAAGGAGAGAGGCAGGUCCACUGUGGGGUCUGUCUGUGUUUAUAUGGUUGGCAGAGCGCGCUUUGAUGUCACCCUGAUGACGUCUGUCAUCUUCCCCACACCUGCUAUGGCAUGGCUGCCUUCAGUCACAAGCCUGAUUCACAGCACACUCUAUGUUUAGCAGCGCUCUGAGAAGGAUUCCAGUCUGCCUUCAGCCCUAAAUAGCUACAAAUAUCAGAGUAGCAGCGGCAGCCCUUCAAAGGCCUUUUUGGGAAGUGUCAUGCCAGAGAUGGGGUGACACAGAGGAGCCCCAGAAAGAAGCAAGAUGUCACCUGGAAACUGGAGGGAAAAAGAAGAAAUGAACCAGCGUCGACUGCUAAGAAGGUGAAGAAAUGAACCAGCGUCGACUGCUAAGAAGGUGAAGAAAUGAACCAGCGUCGACUGCUAAGAAGGUGAUAAAGUUGACCAUCUGUUCCUCAGUUACUUAUAGCACGGUCAUCGUCUGGAAAGUUGGAGACAAUGACUAGAAGACAAUGAAGGGACGAAAUACAAGGUGUCUGGUGCAGACUGAUAUGGCCAGGCACGUAAUUAAUGCCUCUUUAAAAGUGAACAAAAGCAGAGCAAGAAGUAAAAAACAAAGCGAUUACGCAUCAGCUGCUGAAACACUGUGUCCUAGCUUAAACGAGGCUGGAAAAAUGCUUCCACAGAGAACAGGAUGCUUGAGGACUCUAGCCUUUUCCCGGAGGGGCUGUAAUGGCUCCAGCCUCGCAGACGGGCUGCGCAGCGGCGCCAGCGAGCUCUGCUGCCCCCUGCUGGACGGAACGCGGGACUCGCGCCAGCCAGUCUGCGAGGCUCCCGCUGGCUCCCUGGGGACCCAGCACUCCUCCAGCAGGUUAUGCAACACCAGCUCACUUCAGGAAAGGAAACCAUCGACUUCAUGGAGCUUCCAAUGAGCCAGUGUUAAGAGUAAGGCGGAGACUAGAAAAUAGCACGCAUGUGUCCAGCCUUGGAGGCGCGUGUGUAAGGGGAGUGGACUAACUGAAAGGAAGCAGUGUAAAGAUUAGCCGCAGGGUAUGGUCUUCUAGUGACGCCGCACCUCAUGACCAGCUACUGACAUGGUGGGCGGCAGUGCUUCAUUUCCGGAGUGCAGCCCCAUCUUCUAGCUCCUUCAAGGUUAUAGAUCUUCUAGCUGUGUGACCUUCAAGGUUUUAAACUCUGACUGUUGGUGAACCAUAUCCAGUGGGUUGGUCUUUCCUAACAAGACACACAGUGAAGGCUUUAUAGAGAGGCAUAUUAAGGUGGAGCAGGGCUAUUCCCUCCUUUUACUGUUCAGAAAUAAUAAACAUUUUGAUAUUUCCAGUAUUCGUCCGGAUCACCAUAUCUUUAGAGGAAUUUUUCUUCUAUUUGGACCGACCCUUUGGAGUUUUACCUUUUGGGGUUUUACUGAUGUGAAGGAGGGGUCGUGGUGGUGGUGGCCGUUCACUCUUGUCCAAUCUGGAUGUGGAUUAAUGGUGUUUUCCAGCCCAUAAAAUAUUUUAAAAUUUUUAUUUCACACGGGGUUAUGAAGCAUCGCUGCCUUUACGACAGCUCGACUGGAACUUUCAAAAUUAAAAAUGACAGGAACUGAAAGUUGUCAUAGAGAUUCCAAGGCACUACCAUUCUCUUAUUCUGUAGACGAUGUUCUGCGCUUUUCAACCAAGUAAGAAUAGAUCUCUGGAGAUGAGAAGAUGACCACCACGUGUCUUUUCCCAGUCUUUGGAUGGUACCUUUCACAUCCUGGAAGGGAGAAAGCUGAGUCACCACCACAGAGUCUGAACCUGAUUAUCAUAUUCAGUAGCCACUGCCAAGCAUACAUUAGCACCUCUCCCAGAACUACUCUCUGUCUGCACAGGGCACCUGGACACUCUGCUCAUGAGAAUGCAAUACCCAACAUGAGUCAAGAAAGCCCAAAGACGUCCACCCUGAUCUGGUGAUAGAUGACACCUGACCUCCUUAGCCAAUAUGCAGACUGAGACUGUAUCUGGCAGAGUUUCUGGCUGCAGAACCCUUGACCGUCAGAAGUGAAUGAAAGUUUGGUAAGCUGUGCUGGAGCACUGCCAGUGUGCGGUGCUGUGAGCCGCCCUCACAGGAUUUCAGGGAAGAACUGUGGGGAGGAGGCACUGAAUGCCUUAGAUGCAGCGGGGAGAAAACCCUUCCUCCUACACCCUUAAAACAGAGCGAAAGGAAACAAAAUAAUAAAACUAAUAACAAAAUAACAAAAUAAUACCCCCCCACAAGCUACACCCUUACUUUUCUGGUCUCACCUGCUGCUUUCCUUAGGAGAUAGUUUCAAUGGAAAAGAUUCUAAAGUUCAUGUGUUCGAAAGCUUCUUGACCUUGCAGUUGGCGAUGAUCUUUGGGGGGUUAUGGAACUGUGGCUGGGGUCACUGGGAGCCAGGUCUUUGGGGUCACAGCUCUGCCCUAUUUUUGGACCCAGUCUCUCUGUGUGUCAUCUGUCAAGAAGUGAGCAAGCUCUCCUACACUCCUUCUGCUCUGGUUCACCUCCACCAAUACCCGUACUCUCAACCCAGGGGUGAAAAUUCCUUUCUCCUUCAGUGUGCUUCUUCCUGGGCAUUUGGUAGCAGCAAUUUCAAAAGCUAAGCUACCUUACUAGUAUGAGCUUCAGUGGUUUACACCAGGUAGGUCGAGGGAAAGGUAAAACUUGGGAUUUGCUCAAAACAUGGCCACACACACACACACACCUGAUGCUCGACACACACAGCCAGGCACACCUGAUGCCAGAAAGGGUGAGGUGGGGAUGUCAGAAAGUCCUGGGAGGAACCCAGGCUGUGUUCUAGGCACAUAUCUAUAGCUCAUAGUUUGUGUGUUCUUGGAAGACACAGAAGUAUUAUAAACUCGUAAAUAGAAUUGCAUAAGACUGUACUCAUGACAUAAAUGAUUCCUCACACGAGCGAACCAAGAAAGCCCAAAGAUGUCUACCCUGAACUGCAGAUAAAACAUCAUCAGACCUCCUUAGUUAGACGCCGCUGACACACAUUCGGAGAUCUUAUCCGGCAGAGUUUCCAGGCGUACGGAAGGUGGAUUGAGUUCAGGAUGAAUGAACUAUUGAACAGUGGAGCUCAGGGAGUGGGCGAUGGAUUAGUGGACAAAAAUAGCCCUGGACACCUGUGUAAAUCCUUGGUGAUCUGAUCUACGCCAUAAAAACCAGACAGUGGGCAUCUGUAACUCAUAAUAAGUCCUUUCUAACAUCACUGAGGUUAUCUUAAAGAGCCUCUUGGUGCUCCCCUCCCCCAUAGCUUUAGAGUGGGGCCAGGCUGCUAACUGCGCCAACGCUGCAUUUGGAGGGCUGUGACUUGCAGCCUGACCUCCUGGAACUGAGUGGAGCAGCAAUCAACAAUGACUUUGUAAGCUGAUCCCUGCUACAGACCGUACAAAAUCCUCAACGGGGAGAGCUGCUUACCUACAGAGGUCACAGGAGCUCUGUGCUCACCACCCCUAAUGCCCGUGUUCCUUGAAGUUGGCUGUUCCUGAGUUGUAUCUUUUGAAGUGAACUGACAUUGAUUCCUUUGGAAACUUGGAUGGCAUCGUUUAAUCUGUGGAGUGGGAAAAAGGAGACGAAGGAAGGAAGAGGAGAGGAGACCAUAAAUGACUUUGGAAAGAUCCAAGGUCCCCCGUACACAAGUUUAUGGCAUGAAGGCAACUGCACUAGCUUGGACAGACUCUGGAGACGGAAAUAUAAACAGAUGUUCACAUCUGUUCACAACAGGCUAACCUUGCGUCCUUCUGCUGCCUCGCUGAGAGCUCACUGGAUCCGGGAAGUUGCUAAUAAAAACCCAGGCGGGGAUGGCACCUGCAGACAACUCACUCUACCUAGCCGUCAGAGCUGGCCUGGAAGAACAAAGGCUUUCUGGGGAGCUGCAAAUCACACAUUGAUCUUGCCCGAGAGUAUCUUUCCUUAGCGAUGAGAAGCUGGAAUAAAACGAAGUGGAAUGAAAAGCGGCAAGCAGAGGCCCUGAAGACUCCCACAGAAAUCCUGGUUCUGCAGAUUUACCUGUGCCGUGGGACCCACCUGUGUGGGACGAGGCACUUCUUGUUGAGCGUUCUGCUGCUCCAGAGUGCUUCAGCAUUACGUGUGGAAAGCAGAGACUUGAGGAAAAAUCAGUCAAACGAGAGCAUUGCAUAACUCGGACCACUGGAAAAUCCAUUCCCCCUUUAGGCAUCCCAAUGAGGGCAGUAACAACUAAGCAUGUUCCGGCUGUCGUGCUUACUCUAAUGCUGGCACUGGGGAGGAGAGGAGGCAAGUGCAUCCUAGGAGUUUGCUAGCAAGUGAGCCAGCUUCACCCCCUCACGCCACUCCCGGUUGCUAGAAUAGGAGGGCCUCUCCCAGAAUACUCCACACAACAGAUGGUUGAUCUACACCAGGAAACACCCAAAGAAGAAGACCAAGGCCACCACAGGCGGCAACUUGCCUACUCACCAGGGUCCAAGGAAGACCUCCAUCCCAUGGUGGGUAGAGUCCACAUGUGGGUCUCUGGGCUCUCUUCUCUGGUCUUCCUGUCCUCGUUGCUUUACUAAGGGAGACCUGUGAGCAACAGUGUUUUAACGCACGUUAUAGACGACACCGGAGUGUGGCUCUCACCAAAGCGUGUGCCUGACGUGAAGUGUGCCAGACUCCACGAGAAGUGUGUCUGGGCCAACUGACAGCAGUGGCUCUGGCUUUGACACGGCUCUCAGCACUCCCAUUCUGUUCCGAGAGGCCAGGAAGCAGAUGGAGAGAGAAUAAGCAAUGCAGUGGGAUGUCUACAUCUUGGCAGUCAGUUCACGGCGAGCUAUGUUUCUCAAGCUAUUAAGAUACAUGAUGCUACCUGUACAUUUAAUCUCUAAUCAAGUAUGUAAUUUUUUUAUUGCCUAGGGUAUGUCUAUGCAGUUGAAAGCAAAAACCUGUGUUCUAUCUUUAAAGAAAAAAUAAAACAACAACAAUAACAACCACAACACCCCUGUAAAAUCAAGAGAGAGGGAGCAAGAAGUUGGGUGGGUGGUGAGGUGGGGGAGAAUCGGGGAACAAUGGAGGAGGAAAACAAUAUAAUCAAAACAUACUGUAUGGAAAUUAAAUGUCCACCCUGCUCCUUGUGAAGUUUGCUUCCUUCACAGUGAUGUGAAGGGAACAGUGAUAUGCUUCCCCAAGGGGCACGAAGGAGAGGUGCUCUGAGAAAGUGACAUAAACAGGGAAGAUUUUUCUUCUUUGUAGAGAAGGGCGUUAGAGUACAGCAUUGUGAGAUUGCUCAGUGUGUGCACAGAGUACAGCAUUGUGAGGUUACUCAGUGUGUGCACAGAGUACUGCAUCAUCAGAUUACUCAGUGUGUGCACAGAGUACUGCAUUGUGAGAUUACUCAGUGUGUGCACAGAGUACUGCAUUGUGAGAUUACUCAGUGUGUGCACAGAGUACAGCAUUGUGAGAUUACUCAGUGUGUGCACAGAGUACAGCAUUGUGAGAUUACUCAGUGUGAGCACAGAGUACUGCAUUGUGAGAUUACUCAGUGUGAGCACAGAGUACUGCAUCAUCAGAUUACUCAGUGUGAGCACAGAGUACUGCAUCAUCAGAUUACUCAGUGUGUGCACAGAGUACUGCAUUGUGAGAUUACUCAGUGUGUGCACAGAGUACUGCAUUGUGAGAUUACUCAGUGUGUGCACAGAGUACUGCAUCAUCAGAUUACUCAGUGUGUGCACAGAGUACUGCAUCAUCAGAUUACUCAGUGUGAGCACAGAGUACUGCACUGUGAGAUUACUCAGUGUGUGCACAGAGUACUGCAUUGUGAGAUUACUCAGUGUGAGCACAGAGUACUGCAUUGUGAGAUUACUCAGUGUGUGCACAGAGUACAGCAUUGUGAGAUUGCUCAGUGUGUGCACAGAGUACUGCACUGUCAGAUUGUUCAGUGUGUGUCAAACCAGCUUUAGCAGCACUGAGAGAGAACUGACUUCAUUAACACUGGAGAUCUUGGAGACAGAUCAAGUACUCCUAUGCAGGGCAACACAAGGCACUGCAUUGAAGGAAGUCUUCCAAGAGCAGAGAAAUUCUCUCCUGGACACUACUUCCACAGAAUUUUCAGAUAGUUCCAUUUAACUUCCAAGUUCGUUGAUCAACUGUCAUGGGGAGAAGGGAUAGACGUCACGGAGCAUUGUGUCAUUAACAUUCGUUGCUGAAGAAGACUGGGAAGCAAUUCUAAAUUUGCAGCAGCCACGAGGUCCAUGGGCAGAGGUGGACAGAAGUGAGGACUGUCCAAAUGGUGGACUGCUUUGAGCAAGUGAAUGAGUCGUUGCAACUCCACAACUGGGUACGAUAAAAACGCUUCCAUAAACAAUGUAAAAUCAACUGGGUAAGGCGUAAUCCCAUUUAUUUACAGUUCAAAAAUAAACAAAGCGAGUCGCUGACAUCUGAAGUGAGAAGAGAUACCCGCCAUGGGCGAGCUUAGUGAAGAUUCAGCUUCAGGCGUUAGGGAUGGUUUCGUCCCUGAUGGGUUGUUGGUUACGAGCACAUGUUUGUUCUCCACGAGCAUACAUUUUAUUUCUGAGUCGUGUAUAUUUUUUUCUUCAUCCUGAAUCAGCAAAACAGUUACAAGCAAGCAAUGUCAACAUAGUUUCUUUUGCAUGUAUUAAAGUUUGGACCGUUCAGUCAAUCGUUUAAAGGACUAGGUAUGUGGGAGGAAGUGGCCCACAAAGGCUGAAGAGUUAAGUAUUUAAAGACUCAGAAUUACUUGAGAUAGUGAAAAAACGUUAGAGAGAAAAAUUUGAGCUUGGCUUCGUAGUCUAAAUUUCUUUGUCAGUAAAAACCUUCAUUUGUGGUAAAAUUUGGGCAGGGGAGUAAUGGUAUUUGAUAAGGGGUGGGGAAGAAUGUGAACUCAAAAUUAUAACCCAUUUUCUUUCUUUUUAACAUUUUCAGGUCAACACCAAACGUUUAGGUUCUGUGUGAUCAAAAUAGAAGGUCUUCACGUAUAUGGACCUGUCCUCCGCUAAGAUGUAAUUAUCAGUUGAUCAGGUUGAAAGACGGCUGAGUAGAUCCGGCACUAACAACAGAAUCAUCACACCAUGGAGAAACAAAUGUUCUAACAAUGUUCAUAACUCUACACGAUCCUUUCCUUUUUCACCACAAUCUAUGCUUCCCCAUCUGGCAGACAAGUAUGGAUCCCUUUCAACAUGGUAGGUAACAUUCCAGAUUGGAUAAUAAAAGUCUCUGUGGGAGAA